UGGGGAAUAUUGGACAAUGGAGGGAACUCUGAUCCAGCAAUUCUGUGUGUGUGAAGAAGGUUUUAGGACUGUAAAACACUUUUAGUAGGGAAGAAAAAAAUGACGGUACCUACAGAAGAAGCAACGGCUAAAUACGUGCCAGCAGCCGCGGUAAUACGUAUGUUGCGAGCGUUAUCCGGAAUUAUUGGGCUUAAAGGGCAUCUAGGCGGUAAGACAAGUUGAAGGUGAAAACCUGUGGCUCAACCAUAGGCUUGCCUACAAAACUGUUGAACUAGAGUACUGGAAAGGUGGGUGGAACUACACGAGUAGAGGUGAAAUUCGUGGAUAUGUGUAGGAAUGCCGAUGAUGAAGAGAACUCACUGGACAGAAACUGACGCUGAAGUGCGAAAGCUAGGGGGGCAAACAGG
rnacentral:rRNA from 1 species